UAGGGAAUUUUCCGCAAUGGACGAAAGUCUGACGGAGCAACGCCGCGUGAAUGAUGAAGGCCUUCGGGUUGUAAAGUUCUGUUAUAAGGGAAGAACAUACUAAUAAGGAAAUGUAUUAGUACUGACGGUACCUUAUCAGAAAGCCACGGCUAACUACGUGCCAGCAGCCGCGGUAAGACGUAGGUGGCAAGCGUUAUCCGGAAUUAUUGGGCGUAAAGGGCGUGUAGGCGGUUUAUUAAGUCUAAUGUUAAAUACACUAGCUCAACUAGUGAUCGGCAUUAGAUACUGGUAAACUAGAGUGCAGGAGGGGCGAGUGGAAUUCCAUAUGUAGCGGUGAAAUGCGUAGAUAUAUGGAGGAACACCAGUGGCGAAGGCGUCUCGCUGGCCUGCAACUGACGCU
rnacentral:rRNA from 1 species